GGCAGAAUAGCUCAGUUGGAUACCUUCGGGUUAGAGCAUCUCACAUGAAAUGAGAAGGUCCUGCCUGGGUUCAAUCCCCGGUUCAGCCA